rnacentral:rRNA from 1 species
AUGACAUUUCCCGAGUCAGUCAGAGGCUGGCAGUCGACCUGGUUCUACUGCCAGGAUCAGUCGACGCCGGGGCAGUCGAGUGGACUCCCUCAGUUCACCAUGGGCCGAGUGAACAAGCCCUCCUCUCUGAAGGUGAUUCCAGAGGAGAAAGCUGACGUGAAGAUGCUGAUGGAGCGUGUAGUUCAGUUGGUUCGGGAGGGAGUGACGGGUAUGGAUCUCCUGGAGGUUUUCCUUAGGCGUCGUAUCCAGCCUCUUCAGUUCCAGAGCCAUUGCAUGUGGUUGUACUGCGGGACCGAGGAUGUGACUCGGGUCAAUCCAGAAACAGUCGACGAUGCCACUCUGGAAAGGUGGAUGGCCGCUGUUACUGGGAACAAGGAUAACCCUCGCGGAGCCAGAAGGAUUCCUCCACUCGACUGCCACAGUGAUUCAAACAAGGCCCUCACUGAGCUGUACUCGAUGCCCAACGGAGCACAGGCUCCGACUGAUGAGGGAGAAGCGAGCGGGGGUGAGAGCCAGGAGGAGGAGUGGGACUCGGACGCUGCUGAGGAUGAUGAUGAUGAUGAUGACGAUGAUGGCGAUGAUGAUGAUGAUGGUGAAGACGAGGAAGAGGAGGAGGAGGAGGUUGCACCACCGCGCUCGGAAAGGCGGUCGAAGCUUGUCCAUGACCCCGCGACUGAACGUGGCAAGGGGGUUGCGACUGUCACACAGUCGACCAAGCGCCCUCGGACCACCUCUCCGGCGCCGACUGAAAAGGCGUCGAAGCAGCCCAGGGCGGCCCCGUCAAAGCCGACCAAGCUCCUGCCGAAGAUGAAGGUGUCCAUCCCCACCAUAUCAGGUGCUGCUACUUCUGAGACCUCAGCCCGGGCUGACGACCAUGAGAUGGAGGACGCAGCAACCUCAAAACCUGCUCCAUCCAAUGUUGUUAUCACUCUCCCUGAUGAUGAUGAAGAUGAGGAACCGCUGAAGCACAGAAAGAGUAGGAAAGCGUCUGCCGGCAGGGUGCUCCAGGAUGUGACGGUGCCUGAGACCCUGGCCGCGGAGGAAGAGAACACCACUCGACAAACUGUGUCCUUCGCAGAUCCGCUGACGAGUGCUCUGUUGGAAAUAUGCCCUAGAGGCAAUAAUAAAAGUGUUAUUAUUAUAUUUCUCUGUUCAUGA